rnacentral:misc_RNA from 1 species
AUCUUCCGUCGUUUUGCCACGUUAGUGUACAGGUUCUCCACAACCGACAAAUCAUGAGCAAACGGGGAGACACGUCUGCUGCAUUGAAAUCAGCACCGUCAGAGAACCUAGUGUCUGUACUAAAAAAAUUCUACGAUGAGUACAUGACAUCAACGUCCAAGAGGCUGAAAAUAGUUGAUGCCUAUCUUGUUUACAUUCUUUUCACCGGCGUCAUACAGUUUGUGUACUGCGCUCUCGUGGGAACAUUUCCAUUCAACUCAUUUUUGUCUGGCUUCAUUUCAACUGUCGGUUCCUUCGUUUUAGCUGGUAAAUGCUAUUUACAUUUAUUCAAUUUCGCAUAACUGCAAAUUAACUUGUUCGAAUUUUCUCUGUUCAAUUUGGUUUGCAGUCUCAGUUAUUAUAAAGUCGUGCAGAUUUAGAUAGAUACUUUACUAUAUCAAGUCAAUACUUGGGGUUACAUGCGAAAAAGUGACGUAGCAAUAAACUAGUGAGAAAUGGUCCAAGGCCAGUAGCUCUACAGAAGAAUUUGGAUUAGGUUUGGCACCCCCGCCCCCUUUAAAUGCCUGAAUUGUGUACCUGUUUUACCUUCCAAAUGCAACUGACGAAAAAUUCACCAUGUUUACCAUGUUGGCAAGCACUCUGAAAUGUUCACUUAAUGAUAAAGCAAUUGUUUUAAAAAUUGUAUGUGUCAAAUUUUGUACAUUGGUGGUUAAAAAAAGGUCAAAAUGAAAUGCAUCCUGGAAGUCCCUUAAAAACAAUGUGUUUCUUUAUUCAAUAAGAUUAAUUUAAUCAAUUAUGGCAUGCCUCAUUCAUCAGACUCUCUACUUUUGAUUCCUAUCAAUUAUCUGUCAACUGAAAAACAAUUGCAACAAUAGAAGCAAAACAAAAAUCAAGCACAAAAAUCAUCACACAUGAUAUUUUAAGCGAAUGUUUAAAAUGAAGCAAUCGUGUCGGGGUACUCCUCUGAUGUUAAACAUGAUGCGCUUAUUCUUAAUCAGAGAUGAACAAUAACUGAGUACCAUUUGGUAGGUAAAGUAGGGAUACCAUAUGGGCAUGUAAGCACUCCACUAAUUUAACCAAACUUACUUUGAAGUAUUUAUAUAUGAUGGGAGUAUUGAAUUUAAAGUGUAAAGCCUUUUCCAAAGAUUAGAUAAUAGAGAGGUAUAGAUUUCAAACGUGUACGGGUACGUGUACGUGAAAUAGGGGAAUCACCUAAAUUCUUCACGUACUCUGUCAUCAGUUUUUGUGACGACAUCGUUUCUACACAUUCUCUAAACUUGUAGAGUGCCGUCUACAGGUAAUUACAAACAUGUAGAUUUGUACAACAAAUAAAAUCUUAUUGAUGAGUGAAUGUAUUCUUGUGAUACAUUAUAAAGAUUUUUAAACUUCAUUUGCAUGAAAAUUGAUUAAAAAUUUAUCAUUUAUUUGGAAUUAACUAAAUAAAUUCAUGUCACAAAACUGCGACACAUUUAUAUCCUACAAGUUAAGAAAUCUCAACUGAUAAAUUACAAAAAGGUGUACGUGUAGUUAUGACACACAUACGCGUACCCGUACAUGUCUUAAAUCUCAACCUCUCUAAUAAGAAAGAAAAGACUCUGGAACUUUGUUAUCUCUAAUUUGACAUGUUAAUGGGCCAAAAUAUAUAAAAGGGGAUUACUUGUAUCUCAUCAUAAUGUGAAUGAUUUGUAAUUUUCAAAGAAAUGGAGUAUGAAGAUAUAUACAGUAACAUUUUUAGAAUACUAUGCAAUUUACUUUGUUUAAAUUCUAUAAUUUUCCAUUUUUGUAGUGUGUUUGAGACUGCAAGUCAACCCACAAAACAAGACAGAUUUUGUUGGAAUCAGUCCAGAAAGAGCGUUUGCAGAUUUUAUAUUUGCGCAUGUUAUUCUUCAUUUAGUUGUCAUCAAUUUCAUCGGAUAGAGUGGUAAGAUGAUUUAAAUUUAUUUAUAUAUUUAAAAAAUGUUGAAAAUGAUUUUUUACUCUCCAAUGAAAUAUAUAAAUGUCUUGCAAAUUAUAUUUGCUGCCAGUUCACUCAGUUGCCACACAACAUUCCCCCUAAGAUAUAUGUAAGCCUAUUAAAAAUGAUUUUCUUUAAUAGAAUCAAGUAUAUUUGUUGUAUUUUUAAUUUGUAAUUUUUUUACCAUUUCAGGUUUGGUGUUUCCAUUACAGACCAAGAUCUUGUUAAUUUGUAUGAAUGAGGGAGAGAUAUGUGUUGUAUAUUAUUUUAUAGACAUUAAAUAA